rnacentral:lncRNA from 1 species
UGGGAAGCAACAAAAGUAGAAGAAGGGAAAGAGAAGUGAGGAACAACGAGGCUGGGAAGUCUGGCUGCUGCCCCCACCACUCAGCAUUGCACUGCCGAGGCUGCAGGCGCACGGCGACACGGCGGAGUCCCAUCUCUGCAGAUCAUGGCGUGGGUGGUGGUUUGGGAGAAGGACAGGAGCUCUGGCUGUCAAAGCUCGCUGCUCGGCCUUGCCACUGCGGGAGGAAAGAGAAGGGAAGCCUGAGCAGAUGGGAGAACACUCCUCUUCGUUCCUUCCUAAAUCAGCUCACAGUUACGAG